CAGUCGCCGCGGGAAUACGAAGGGGGCUAGCGUUGUUCGGAUUUACUGGGCGUAAAGGGCGCGUAGGCGGACUGAUAAGUCAGGGGUGAAAUCCCAAGGCUCAACCUUGGAACUGCCUUUGAUACUGUUUGUCUUGAGUUCGAGAGAGGUAAGUGGAACUGCGAGUGUAGAGGUGAAAUUCGUAGAUAUUCGCAAGAACACCAGUGGCGAAGGCGGCUUACUGGCUCGAUACUGACGCUGAGGCGCGAAAGCGUGGGGAGCAAACAGGAUUAGAUACCCCCGUAGUCCCUGUCUCUUAUAC
rnacentral:rRNA from 1 species